AUGGUUAGGUUUUUCUGUUUUUCAUCCUCUACUACACAACAGAAACCGAAGGAGGCCUUUCUGCUAGCAGAUAAGACCAUGCUUACUGUUUCAAAGAAAGAUUCUCAGGAACAAACAGUGAAGUUCACUACUGGAUCAGUGGGCCCGAAGCAGAUGGCGGAUGAAAAUAACCAUUCAGUUGCUAGUGGGCAGUAUGAUAUUAACUCAUCAUCUCACCAAGAAUGCUGGAGAUCUGAUGAAUGGAAUAGACAUGCAUGCUCUGAUGAUGACAAAGAGGAGAAAGUUGGGCACCUACAGAAGAGCCAGUCUCUUGGGAACAUGCUUCAAGAGGAUUGUGAUCAUCAUGGCAGUGAAGGUACUGAGUGUGACAUUACAGACCAUGAUUACAGAAGCCAUUGCUCUGGUUUCAAGAGCAAUACAGAUGUUGAAGAAUCCACUAGGUUAGGCAGCAAGAACAACGAGAAUGUUUUUGAUGCCUCAUCUGACCUGAUCAGUCAUGGUGUUUAUGAACCUUCAGUUGAUCAUGCCGCUGAUUCUGACAGGCAUCACUCUUAUGACCACAGCAAAUUUCCAAGGUCACAAUCUGCUAUAUUUCAGAAUAAUUCUGAUAGUGACCGAGAAGGUUCUGUUGAUUCUGAGAGACUAGGCCCCCGUUGCAGAUCUUUUGAGGAUUUAUGUUCAAUGGACGGUGAAAAGGUUGAUUACUUGAGUGGUGAUGAAACAAAUCGCUCGAAAUCAAAUUUGCCUGUGCUUUGUGCUGGACCUUCUUCGCCAGGUAUCUCUGAAUUAUUAGACUUGGAGAAUGGUUCAGGAGGUCGCUCUGAUGCUGCUGAAGAUGGCCAACGGUCCUCUGCAAGUGUAGAUGGGAAGUUUGUGAGGGAUGGGAUGAUAAGUCAUGACUACUGGGAUGGCAAAUAUAUUGCUGCUGAUAAUUCAGCUCAUCCAGUUGCCACUUGCUUUGGGGAUUCAGGGCAUUAUUGUGUCAUCAAUGGUGCUUUAAAUCAAGAGAGGGAAGAGAAAUUGUGGAACAGAAAUAGCGGUCUCGACCAGGAGUCACUUGGCAUUGACAUGCCUAAUUUGAAGAACCCGUCUGACUCGAAGGAUAUUAGUGAGGAAGCUGAACACAAUGAAACUGAAAUGAAUGGUGAUCAGCAUUUUGACGAGGACUCAAAUGAACUUAGUCCAAGAGCUUACAGCAUUAAAAGGAUCGAGGAUUGGAUCAGCCAAAUUGAUAUUGACAGUGACAUCAUUGUGGAGGAGCAGGGAGAAAGUUCAAGUUCUGCAUCAACAAAAUAUAGCGAGUCGGUGGUCAGUGUUUCUGCUGUGCGCCCUGAUGCUAAAAGUCCUCUUGGCAUGGAGAUAGCUUACACUUAUAUUUCAAAAUUGACUCCUGUUUCUUCAUCUGCACAAUUGCCAAACCUUGGUUUGGUUGCAAUCCCAAGACUGAGCGCGUUCUCAGGCCUACGGCUGUUGAACUUAUCAGGGAAUUCAAUAGUGCGCGUAACUGCAGGAGCUCUCCCGAAAGGUCUUCACAUGUUAAGCCUGUCGAAGAAUAAUAUCUCGAUUAUUGAAGGCCUUAGAGAACUAACACGCUUACGCUUGCUGGACAUAAGCUAUAAUAGGAUCUCUAGAAUUGGCCAUGGUUUGGCUUCAUGUUCUUCUUUGAAGGAGUUAUAUCUGGCUGGUAACAAGAUCAGUGAGGUAGAUGGCCUUCACCGCCUUCUGAAGCUAAAAGUUCUGGACUUGCGCCACAACAAGAUUUCUACAUCCAAGGGCCUUGGUCAACUGGCUGCGAACUACAAUUCCCUCGAAGCCAUCAACCUAGAUGGCAACCCGGCACAGAAGAACGUAGGUGACCAGCACCUGAAGAAGUACCUGUUAGGCCUCUUGCCAAACCUUGCUGUGUACAACAAGCAGCCUGUAAGAGCAACUGGCUCAAAAGAGGUCUCGGACCGUCACACACGCAAGAUCUCUUCUUCCCAUCGUUCUGACCGCAGUUCCAGAUCGGACCGCAAAUCUUCCAGGUUGGUGGCUGGCACAUCUUCACGGCAUGCCCGUCCUGCACAUGCUUCAGGCCCUUUGGUGAAGCAGUCGAGGUCCCGGAACAUGCCAAUGGCAGCGCUGGGCUCUAGACCAGUGGAAUAUGCGGGUGCUGGAGUUCCAGCGAAGCAAAUUCAGAUGGAGGAAAAUUCGCAGUGA
rnacentral:rRNA from 1 species